GAUUAACGUUGGUAGUAUGCCUAACACAUGCAAGUCGAACGGGAUUGUAGCAAUACAGUUCAGUGGCGAACGGGUGAGUAAUGCUUAUCUAACUUGCCAAUUAGUGGGGGAUAACCCUGGGAAACCAGGGCUAAUACCGCAUUUUUUGCUUCGGUAAUGAAAGGAAAUCGCAAGAUUUUCGCUAAUUGAUAGGGAUAAGUCGUAUUAGUUAGUUGGUGGGGUAAUGGCCUACCAAGACAAUGAUGCGUAGCCAGGCUGAGAGGCUGAUUGGCCACAAGGGAACUGAGACACGGUCCCUACUCCUACGGGAGGCAGCAGUGAGGAAUCUUCGGCAAUGGGGGAAACCCUGAUCCAGCCAUGCCGCGUGUGUGAAGAAGGUCUUCGGAUUGUAAAGCACUUUAAGUUGGGAGGAAGGGCAGUAAGUUAAUACCUUGCUGUUUUGACGUUACCAACAGAAUAAGCACCGGCUAACUUCGUGCCAGCCGCCGCUGUAACAC
rnacentral:rRNA from 1 species